AUUGAACGCUGGCGGCAUGCUUUACACAUGCAAGUCGAACGGCAGCGCGGGCUUCGGCCUGGCGGCGAGUGGCGAACGGGUGAGUAAUACAUCGGAACGUGCCCAGUAGUGGGGGAUAGCUCGGCGAAAGCCGGAUUAAUACCGCAUACGACCUGAGGGUGAAAGCGGGGGAUCUUCGGACCUCGCGCUAUUGGAGGGGCCGAUGGCAGAUUAGCUAGUUGGCGGGGUAAAGGCCUACCAAGGCGACGAUCUGUAGCUGGUCUGAGAGGACGACCAGCCACACUGGGACUGAGACACGGCCCAGACUCCUACGGGAGGCAGCAGUGGGGAAUUUUGGACAAUGGGCGAAAGCCUGAUCCAGCAAUGCCGCGUGUGUGAUGAAGGCCUUCGGGUUGUAAAGCACUUUUGGCGGGAACGAAAAGGACUGUGCCAAUACCACGGUUCGAUGACGGUACCCGCAGAAUAAGCACCGGCUAACUACGUG
rnacentral:rRNA from 1 species